rnacentral:rRNA from 1 species
UACAGAGGUCCCAAGCGUUGUUCGGAUUCACUGGGCGUAAAGGGUGCGUAGGUGGCUUCGUAAGUCCGUUGUGAAAGUCAAAGGCCCAACCUUUGAAAGCCGAUGGAUACUGCGGAGCUAGAGUACGGAAGAGGCGAGUGGAAUUCCUGGUGUAGCGGUGAAAUGCGCAGAUAUCAGGAGGAACACCAAUGGCGAAGGCAGCUCGCUGGAACGGUACUGACGCUGAGGCGCGAAAGCGUGGGGAGCGAACAGG